rnacentral:rRNA from 1 species
UACGUAGGUGCGAGCGUUGUCCGGAAUUAUUGGGCGUAAAGGGCGCGUAGGCGGUCGUGACAAGUCACUUGUGAAAUCUCCGGGCUUAACUCGGAAAGGUCAAGUGAUACUGUCGGACUAGAGUACAGAAGGGGCAACUGGAAUUCUCGGUGUAGCGGUGAAAUGCGUAGAUAUCGAGAGGAACACCUGCGGCGAAGGCGGGUUGCUGGGCUGAUACUGACGCUGAGGCGCGAAAGCCAGGGGAGCAAACGGG